UGACAUCUAAGGGAGAAAACAAACAAACAUUAAUUAGCGAGAUGCUUUGAUUCUAAUUUGGUGUAGGAUGCAAUGACACCAGAAAAUAUUAUAGCACUAAGUAAGCUAGUGCAUGUUUUACUAAAACACGAGACAUGCAUUUGUUGUUUAAUUUUAGAUCUGCAACAUAAAUCUAUUAAUAAUGCAUUUUAAUCUUUUACUAAUGUAUACUGAUUUUUGUCCUAGAUCAAAACAGACUCCUGCUUAUGUUCAUUUUACAGUUGUUUUCUUGCUGUUUUGAUUCAGCACUGGCGUUAGUUUCCUGCAUCUGGAGACCUUUGCCUGUGUGGCACAAGGCUGAACACACAUUUUAAGUGUUAUAGACUUUGUUGAUGUACCCUGUGAGUCUUGUUCACUGCAGCAUGACAGCAUUUGCCGCCUUCACCCUGACAAUUCCUUUGCUAUGGACCAGCUGUUUCCAGAUUAUUCACAUCUUUUUGGAACUCUUCUCCAUCUGUCUCUACAAAUCCUCUUUGGAAUCCCUCAUUGAUAAAGUGCAUUGCUGAUUUUGCCAAAUCCCCUUUGACAUUUCAUUAGGAUAAAAGUGAAACUAGUGUGUUCUAUUGCCCCAGCCUGUGGCAACAAAACUGUCCUGGCUGACUUCUGACUUGGUGGUGACAAGUACUUCAUAAGAGAAGGCGUUGGGAAAGCUUAGACAGUGUGACUGCCCAGUCCACUGGCUGUGUAAUGGCAUUGCAGAGGCUCAACUGGGCAACCUACACCACAGCAGAAGGCUUGACCUGUCCCAUGUGCUCUACGGUAACCUUCUUUGCAAGAUUAAAUGGCCAGACACCAGCAGUGUUAAGUGUUCUUAAAUUUCUGAUCUUGAGAGUGCUGCGCGCUGGGCUGCGCAGAGUAUGCUCAUGUAACUGUUCUGAGAAGGUCAGUUCAUGGCUUCUGGCAGCUUGUCAGGGUGGUUUCAACAAAUGUUUAAAAAAAUGCCUGAAAUGCAACUUGAAAGCAUAUGAAUUGAACCCAGCUGUUGUGAAGAAACACUGUAAGACACUGUAAGGUUGCACCCAGUUGGUAUUGUUGGCAUAAACUAUUUUGAAAUACGAGGUGCUGACAUUCUCUGUAAGAAAGGUGAGUAGCAGAACGCAAGAAUCUGCAGCCUGCUGUGAUCACAGGCCAUCAUCUCAUUUGUUCCACGUGCAACCUGUUUGCAGCUCUCUUUUCAGUCUGCUCUUCAUAUGCAUAUUCCCCUUUACUAUAUUAAAAAUUCUCUUAUAUUGCUAUUGUGUGAUAGCUCAUCCAGCUAUCCAUCCCCUCUGCUUCUUAGUUAGAAUCAGUCCCUGAUUCUAUGCAUGCAGAUAAUUUAGUCACCAGAGUAACACAGCUACUGAUGUAUUCUAGGCAAGGUGUUACAAGCCUGGGUCUCAGUCUGACCUGGAUCUGGAAAAUUUCAGGAGGCAUCAUGAAGAAACUGUUACUCAGGAACUGUGAUCACAAAACUCUUCUGUUGCCCUUCAGCCAACUUCACAUCCCCCAUAGGAGCAGUUUUUGUUUAUGCAUUCAUCCUUGAGAUUCAGAUUUUAUACUCUUGCAGUCUCCUGAAGAUCUGUGAAGUAAUGCUUAUAUCAUCAGUAGGAUCCUGAGCAAUCUAUAUUUUCCACUGGUAACAUUUGCUGUUCCUAAACACGUUUUGAACCUGCCCAGAAUUAGUAAAAUCUCGAUGGCCCCAAGCCUCUCCUAGUCUUGGGAGUCUAAAAAAAGGACUUUCUUGCAGAUCCUGGCAUAUCUUGCCUAUAAUAUGUAACAGCUACCAAAGCAUGUUUAAUACCUGGUGAGGUUUUGGUGCUAUCCAAAUAUUCUUUCCAGCUCCCCUACAAUCCCCUGAGUAACUAAAUGGAAAACAAAACUGUUUUACUGAGAAAAUAUUAGCAUGAAAUGGUGCCAUAUUGAUGAAAGCGCUCAUCAUGUUAGUAUUUUGCAAAACUUGUGAUGUAGCAGAAAAUUGUAUUUCCUCAGAACUCUGGAAGAGUGCAUUUGUGAGAUUCAUAGCCAUAUUCAAAAGAUAAGUGGUGAGAAAUGUAACAUAAAUUCCAGUACUAAAUCUGAUCCAAAGUUGCAUUCAGCUCAGAAUAUCCUUUCUUUGUCACUAGUCAAUUCUGAAUGAUUUGAGAAGUGCAAGAAUUUCUGUAAUAGAUAACUUUGGAAGAUUUUCUGUAUAGGGGAAGUUUUGUUCUAGCUUUGUGCAGCUACCUGAUGUUCUAAAUUGAGCCAUAUCUCUCAUUAAAAAAAAGAAAAGUAAAUCUCUUCUGCUUUACUAGCUUUGCCCCCACCCCUUCUCCUUAGCUCCUGGUAGAACUCCUUCAAGUUCUCAAAGUAAAUUCAGGCCCUGUGCCUACUGCUGUCUCCCCAGCUCUACCUUUAAGUUUGAGAGCGUACAAAAUAUGUUGUGGUUGGUGAGCUAUCAUCUGAACAGAGUUCUCUGAAAACUUUUGUCUUGUCUGCUAAAGUGGUUUCAGCAGAAAGAAUCUGCUGUUUGAGAAGGGGAAAAGAAUAGCAUAGCCUCUCUUAGACUGAGCUUGAGACUGUUGUCAUGAUCAAAUGACCACCCUAGUGAGUCUGAGUUAGAUCCUCUGUGCCAUGCUGGCUCUUGCUUGAAUAAUGCCAAGGAAUAUUGGGUGUAGUGUACAGUUUUAUAAGGAGCUUUCAUGAUGGCCCCUUAUGAAUACUCACAACAAUUCAGUGCUGGCUUCUUUGCUAGGCCUUGUCAGCAUGAGUAUGUGCGAACUGUUGAGCUGUCUAACCUCUGCAGUCGUGAUGAAGCAACUGCAAAUUGCAAAAAAAAAGAAACAAACCAGAACCUCUUUAGAAUCAGGAAGAAAAUAAAUCAGUCUGUUUCCCACUGGAAGGGUGGCUCUUAAAUUGCUCUGUGGCUUUCUGUGACAUGAUCAGGGCAUGGUCUAGUUCAGAACUGAGAGUUUCUUCAUAUCUGGUGUACUAUUGAAAUCUGUCUUAAGUGACUACAGUUUAAAAGUCAAUUUUGUCUUUAUUUUGUUGGAAGUCCUAAUACUGUACCUAUCAUGCUGUUUAAAUACUAUAGUGUUCUUAGCACUGGGAGAUAGGAAACCAAAUCCUGGAUGAAGACAUUGGUCUUCAAAGCUACCUACCUUUAAGUCUACUGAGUUCAGUACCCAGCUCAAUAAUAAACUGUCUGGAAGACCUCAAGUAAAUCACUAAAUCUCCCUAGUGCCUUAGUUCCCCAUCUGUAAAAUGGCAAUAAUAUCUUCUACAUCAUAGCAUGGCUAGAAGAUGAAAUCCAUGAAUGUUUGUAAGGUUCUUGGCUACUACAGUAAUGUGGGCCAUGGAAGUGCCUAGGGAGCUAGUACCUUUAUUUGUACAUGGAAUUUGCCUUGGAAUGGAUUCUUGUCUUUCAGCUUCAUCAUUGCUAAGAAGUACAGGAUUAAAAGCAAAGCGUGCACAUGAGCAGUGGAGUCAAUGGAAUUCAGUGAUGCAACCAGUAAAUUAUUCCAUCUGUGACUGCAACUAUGAAGUCUUGUUUUUAAAGAUCUAGGAUGGCUAGGUGGCCUUUUUUUUUUUUUUUUAUAUAUAUAUAUAUAUAAACACUGACACUCUGAAGCAAACCUGAAAAAAAUCAACAGCAUGCCAAGUCAGUGCUUGUCCAUUCCCCAAUUAAUUCAACUCUCCCAGACUAUGUUCAUCCUAGUUAUGUGAACACAGCCAUCCUGGUGCAAGACAGACAUGCACAGAAAGUCAAUUUAGCAUGCUGGAGUAAGCCGCUUGCUUUUCAACAGUAAGUGCAGAAAUGACUGCAUACCAUCAGUCGCCAUCUUCCGUGACUGCCCUGAUGUUGUGGUUAAUCUGAACCCAGCCGGCAGCGUUUCCGACGAGCCCGGCAUCAUGCUGAUCCCAUGAACCUCGCGCGGAGGAAACUGUCGUCGCCAGGAGGGGCCGCGUCUGAAGUUCUUGUCAUCGCUCUGUCAACACAGAGUUGUACUUGAUAAAGCAAAGUGAAUUUUUUUGAUUAAUUAUCCUGCUGUCUGCUGCCUCUCCCAGUGUCAAAUGUGUUCUACACCUACCCUGCUCUGUUGCACUGCAUCCAGUAGCUGCAAUGCGUUUGAGACACUCUUGUAAAAGUAAAUGCUUUAGAAAUAUUAAAUGCUAGGGUGGAAAACUCUUCUUAAACCUCUGGCUCCAUAUAGUAGAGGGUUUUAGUAUCAACUGAAAGAGAACUUUCUUAAAAGUCAGCUCUCUUCCAAACAUAGUAACAGAAAGUGGUUUGUUACUGCAUUAGGAGGCUUACAUAAAGUGCUAAAAAAGAAUUAAACAUUCAUGUGCAUGCCCAGAAUUCAUAGGUAUCUCACAUUUUCAGCAAGUCCUUAAAAAUUUUAUUCCUCCUCACAUGCAGAAAUUCAAGCCUUGAACAUUUUUGCACUGGACUCUUACCUUAAGAUGAAUAUUUUCCAUAGGUGGAUGUGAGAUUCUCUAUCCUAGAUAACUGCCCCAAAUCCCACUCUAUUACAUACAGAUUAACUUUGAAGAAC